rnacentral:lncRNA from 1 species
GGAGUGGGGAGAGGCGCGACACGGUGGGCGGCGUGGUGGGGGGAGCCGUGCGGCGCUGCGAACGCGGCGGUGGGGAUGGGCGGACGGGAGGAGGUGGGGAAGGGCGAGGGAGAGGCGGAGAAGGAGAAGGGGCGCCGAUAUCGACGAGGAGAGGAAAGCCGUGUGCGUGUGCAACGAACGUGCCCUCCUCCCUUUCGACUCCACUAUCCAUCUCUUUUUCUCUCUUGCGUGUAUCUGCUCGCGUCUCUGGCUCGGUGUGGAAAGUACGCGGCGAGGGUUGGCGCGCGAAGGAAGAGGAGGACAGGAAGGGCAGAAGCCCCCUCGCGUGGAAUUUAACGCUUCAUCGAUGGGUUUUAUCAGCGGCUUGCUCUCGGGACACGGCGACGAUAAGCGGCGUCGUUAAUUCGAGGAUAUUAAACGGGACUCUGACGGACGCACACCGAACAGGGGAUCGGAUAUGACAGAUCGACAUUUUCGAGGAGAUAGAUUCGAAAUUCCUCGAAAAUCGCGCGAAAGAGAAGCGAGGAAGCGCGGCAAGGAUCCAAAUCCGCUGGCCGCGGUGCGUGAAAGCGGGCCGUGACCGGCGUGAACCGGCGAGGCAGAGGAGAGACGGCACCCUUUUAUCAUGGCUGGAAACAAAUAACGAGAUCAUUGCUCGCGCGGAAAAUGUCCCGUAUGUAUAUGGUUGUUGGACAAACAGGGGCGAUUCGGUGGAUUCUGUGCGCCCGCUCUACUAAAUGCUGCUAUAUUCCUGCUAAUUCCCCGCCCAAUCCCCCGGGAUCCCUUCCACCCCUUCUUUCCUCGAUUCAUCCGCGAUAAAUUCGACCGUAUGCAUCCCGCCCCGACAACUGCGUCUUCCUGCGAAUCCUUCGAUUUCGAAAAUAAGCUCCCCCUCUCUUCCUCUCUCUCUCUCUCCUUUGUUGCCCUACGAAUGGGGUGCGGUUGAUAUUCGAAAGGGGAUUUGAUCGCUCGACGAAUCGUUUCAUCGAAUAUUAUUAUUAUUAUUAUCAUGGAACAUCUCGAAAUGGCAAGGUGAAUUUUUGUUUAAAAAAAGAAUCAAGAUUAAACUGAACGUUGGAAUAUGAAAAUUGGUUCGAUCGAGAAAAAUUUAUUCGAUCGAAACGAUUAAGCAAGAGGGGGGGGGGGUAGCGGUGCGUGGACGGGUCGAAGGAUUGGAAGGCCUUUAACGUGUAGUUGCCGUUUCAUGGGGUGUUUUAUUGACGGGUGUCGCGCCGCAGGGGUUCGGCGUUAAACGGCGCGAUCUUAAGCUGGAUCCCCUAUUGUGGCGCCCCCGAAUCCGUUCCGCUCGUACCCGCGCGAACAGGUCUAUUAGUCUCUUUCUCCCGUUCCGCUUCCUCGAACUCUUGCUCUUUUAAACGGCCCCCCCUCCCUCGCGUUCGAAGGGGAAAGGAUAUCGUGUCGAUAUCUAUAUUUUCAAUUUGUGGGAUGGAAACGUCGUUCGAUCGCAAGGCAAUAACGAAUGUACGAGCGAAGGAUGUAUCUAAGGGACGAACGGGUUUCAUCGGGAAAAAAGUUCAUCAGAGGCGGAUUGGUGUUGAAGAAGGUAAACAGAGAGUAGAUCAAGAGAUCUGCACGAUGUUGCAGAUUCUUUCUGUUCGCCAUUUGUCAUUUCCAGCCAGAUUUUUCUUUUUGGAAAGAGAAAUCUGGCGGAUUUAUCAUUGUUGUAUAGUUGUUGUUGUUGGUGUAUAUUUUUCUGCAUGAAACACGCAUUGUAUAAACAGUCGGGAGACACAGUUGGGAUAAAAAUUAUAAAUAUAAUAUGCUAAAGCAAG